UACGUAGGGCGCAAGCGUUGUCCGGAAUUAUUGGGCGUAAAGAGCUCGUAGGCGGCUCGUCACGUCGGGUGUGAAAGCCCGGGGCUUAACCCCGGGUCUGCAUUCGAUACGGGCUAGCUAGAGUGUGGUAGGGGAGAUCGGAAUUCCUGGUUUAGCGGUGAAAUGCGCAGAUAUCAGGAGGAACACCGGUGGCGAAGGCGGAUCUCUGGGCCAUUACUGACGCUGAGGAGCGAAAGCGUGGGGAGCGAACAGG
rnacentral:rRNA from 1 species